rnacentral:miRNA from 1 species
AUUUGUGGUUCCUACUCCGCCAAA